rnacentral:rRNA from 1 species
CCUACGGGGGGCAGCAGUGGGGGAUAUUGCACAAUGGGGGAAACCCUGAUGCAGCGACGCCGCGUGUGGGAAGACGGUCCUCUGGAUUGUAAACCACUGUCCCCAGGGACGAAGAUGACGGUACCUGGGGAGGAAGCUCCGGCUAACUACGUGCCAGCAGCCGCGGUAAUACGUAGGGAGCGAGCGUUGUCCGGAAUUACUGGGUGUAAAGGGAGCGUAGGCGGGGAUGCAAGUUGGGUGUCAAAACUACCGGCUCAACUGGUAGUCGCACUCAAAACUGCAGCUCUUGAGUGAAGUAGAGGCAGGCGGAAUUCCUAGUGUAGCGGUGAAAUGCGUAGAUAUUAGGAGGAACACCAGUGGCGAAGGCGGCCUGCUGGGCUUUUACUGACGCUGAGGCUCGAAAGUGUGGGGAGCAAACAGGAUUAGAUACCCGGGUAGU